rnacentral:rRNA from 1 species
UGGAAGUGUCGUAACAAGGUCUCCGUUGGUGAACCAGCGGAGGGAUCAUUACCGAGCUCCCAAUGUGAACGUUACCAAACUGUUGCCUCGGCGGGAUCUCUGCCCCGGGUGCGUCGCAGCCCCGGACCAAGGCGCCCGCCGGAGGACCAACCCUCUUAUUGUAUACCCCCUCGCGGGUUUUUUUAUAAUCUGAGCCUUCUCGGCGCCUCUCGUAGGCGUUUCGAAAAUGAAUCAAAACUUUCAACAACGGAUCUCUUGGUUCUGGCAUCGAUAGCGAAAUGCGAUAAGUAAUGUGAAUUGCAGAAUUCAGUGAAUCAUCGAAUCUUUGAACGCACAUUGCGCCCGCCAGUAUUCUGGCGGGCAUGCCUGUCCGAGCGUCAUUUCAACCCUCGAAUCCGGGGGGUCGGCGUUGGGGAUCGGCCCUGCCUUGGCGGUGGCCGUCUCCGUACAGUGGCGGUCUCGCCGCAGCCUCUCCUGCGCAGUAGUUUGCACACUCGCAUCGGGAGCGCGGCGCGUCCACAGCCGUUAAACACCCAACUUCUGGACCUCG